rnacentral:misc_RNA from 1 species
AAAAAAAAAAAAAAAAAACAAAGUCUUUAAAGCACUUGAAAAUAGAACUUCAUAUAAGCACCCAAUUUUCUUCCUCUAAGCACGUAUACCCUCUCACAGUCUAUACAUAUAUCAUUCAUUAUUCUCAUAACCAAUUUUAAGGCAUUUUACAACCACAUUUGAUCACUUCUUUCUCUUUUCCUUCUAAAUUCAAACAUGUAAAGCACAAUUCUAAGUUCUGAAGUGCUGAAAGAAUUUACCAUGAUUAAGAAGAAAAGGAAAUUUUCAUAAGAUAAUCCAUAUAAACACUGCGAACUAAUCAUAACUAAGAAAAUCAGCACGUUCUCGGGAAAAGGAAUUAUAAAAAGACGAGAAAUUUCUCACAGUCGCCAAGCUUGUUGGGGAC